CUAGCUAUUCACAAAAUACUUAGGGGGCAUUCUCUUUUCCAUUUUCCAGCCAUUUCUCUUUUUAGUUUUCGAAAAUGCCCAAAACGCGUUUGGUACGUCAUUUCUAAAAAUGCAUUUCGGAAAACAAGAAAAAACUUAUAACUGAAAAUGGAGAACGGUUUUUUUUUUUUUCAUUUUCGAUGUUUUUAGUUGAAAAUGCUCAAAAUGCCCAAAACACUCGAAAGGCGCUGAAAACACACUACAAUAAAAAUUCUAUUCAAAACAAUAGAAACUUGGCCCUUUUCUCACGAUUCCUCUCUCCUCUCUCACUUCACUCGACGCCUUCUCCAAAUCAGCCCGCACGACGACGUCCUCCGUCCGGCACCACUCCGACGAGGUCCUACAAUCUGGCGAGCAGGUACGUAAUAUUCCUCAAAACUUGCUUGGAAACCCUUUUUUUUUUUUUUUUUUGUAUUUUUGGGCAUCUUGUUCUUGAUUUUGGUGGUUUUUAUUGCUGAUUUUUUCUGAGAUUUGUGUGUAAAAAAUUACCAAGUUUGUCCUGUGGAAGCAAAUAGCAAUUUGGUGGUGUCAAUUGCUGGUUUGUAUGGAAAGUGUGGGAGAAUUAAGUCGGGGUUGCUUGUUUUCGAUAAAAUGGGGAAGAAGAAUUUGUUCACAUGCUAGUGGGAGAAUUGAGUCAGGGAGCUCUUCUUACUGGUAGUAGAGCCCAUGGAAGUGGUUAUUCAGCUGGAGAAAGGGCUUGUGAGUGUUUAAUCAUAGUUGGAACGUGGGGUGUUGAUGUUGAUUGAUUGGGAAACAAUGAGGGAAAAGAGGAAAACAUUUUGAGUUAAUGAUAAUAUAUUUCCAUUAAAGUUAGUUUGGGGAAAUUAAGUUCAAUGUUUGUGGAAAUGGAUUACAAUUUGAAACUGCCCAAAAUGGAUUAUACAUAUUAAAUUAAGAUUAUCACUACCAAUUGGAUGUUGGGUGAAGAAAAUGAGGACCUCGUGCAUUUUUGCCUUUCCUUUUUGUUUUUGCCAUAUUAAUAUUGCUUUGCAAAAUAGAUGGGAAAAAAUAAAAAUAAAAAUCUUUCUUUUCCUGUUUCUCGCUCUGCAGAGCAUUGGUGGAGUACAAUAUGAUAUAGUGUGUGUGUGUGUGUUAGCGAUGUCAAUGGCUCGGCUCGGCUCGUUACCCUACGAGCUCGGCUCGUGCUCCCGAGCCAGAGCCGAGCUCGGCUCGUCAAAAAAAAAAAGGAGCUCGGCUCGGCCCACGAGCUCGUGGGUGGGGACGAGCCGAGCUCGGCCCGUGAGCUCCUUUUUUAAUUUUUAUAUACGUUUUCUUUCUAAAUAUUUUUCAAAAAAUACAAUUUUGAUAAAUUUUUAUCUUAUAAGUAUUUUUAUUUUGUAAACAAUUUAUUUAGAUAAAGGAUGUUUUACUAAUAACUUAUAAUUUAUAAGUAAUUUUAAUUAUAAUGUAUUUUUUUAUGAUUUUAUCUUGUAAAUAAUACUUACUUAUAACUUAUAAGUUUUUUUAAUUAUAAUUUAAUUUUUUACUUAUAAUUUAUAAAUAAUUUUUAGUUAAUAUAUUUUAAUUUUCAAGUUUAUUUUGAAGAAAACAUAUUGAUUGAAAAUCAUUAUUUUAUAAAUGAUAAAAUUAAAUAUGAUAUGAGAAAUUGUAAAAUGAUUUUUCAAAAUAUUUUUUCUUUUUAAAAUAAUAAAAAUAAUAAAAUAUAAACCCUCCUUCUUUAUCCGGGUUAGGGACCGGUUACUUCAAUAGUUUUUAUUUCGAGUAGGCGGAGUUAAAAAUUGUACACGAACAACUUGUUACGUGUACAAUUUUUUUUAAAAAAUUAUAAAGGUAUUAAAAUAAAAAUUCGUCAUAAAUAUAAUUAAACUAAAUAUCACUUACUUGACUACAUGCAAUUUCGGCAUAUUUAUUUUGCAGUCGAAAAUGAGCAUCUUGCCAGUCCUUUACGCACAUUAAUGCUUCCAAAAUAUCUUCUUUUAGUCGAUUCCUAAUAUCAGAGAGAACCCUAGACCCUGCACUAAAAGCAGAUUCCGAAGCUACAGUGCUAACCGAAGGUGUUAGUAGAUCUUUUGCCAUUGCAGAAACUAUUGGCCAUCGGCGUUCAUACUUUCGCCAGAAGUCAACUACUUCUUCUGAAUUUUUCCUUAAUGCAUUGUUACUAGGCCAAUUAUGAUUAAAGUAAUCAAGUAAUUCAGCAGGCAACGCAUUUUGACUAGUACAUGCAGUAGAAGACAAACUACUAUGACUGGAGGAAUCAUAUGCAUUUCCAAUUUGACCAUAUCUAUAUGAGUUCAUAUCUUCAAAUAAAUUUAAAAUUUCAGCGUCGUCAUCUCCUAAAUUAGUGGGAGGAGUACUUGUAGAGCCCAAGGGUACACGAGUAACUUGUGUACCCAUUCGUGAAGCAUAUAUUACAUACAUUUCAGAUAAAGUUGCUUCCAAAUUCCUAUAGGUAAUAGGUAUGUUAAAAGUUAAAGAUUCUGACAUUCGCUCAAUUAUAAAUUUAGUACCAGAUAAAUUAUAUUGGGGGUCCAUGAUGCAUGCUAACGGAAAUAAAAUGGGCAAGUCUUCUCAAUAUUUUCUAAACUUUAAUUCCAUGACAUUUAUAACUGAACUAAAAUCGGGGUCAUUUUUAAAUCUAUCAAAAGCCCUAACAACUAGAUAAAGACGUUGAAGGACCAUACAACUAGUAGGAUAAUAAACACUAGACAAAAUAUUUGUAGCAUCAUAAAAACUUUUCAAAAAAUGUUUAAUUUUAGUAACUAAAAUCCAAUCGGACUCAAUCAAAACAGUUUCCUCGUCAUCUCUAAAAUGCCUACUGUUAUAAAAUUCAGUAAUUAAAUGUUCGAAACCUUCACAUGAUUUUAAUAAUAAAUAUGUGGAGUUCCAUCUAUGCGCUACGUCACUAAUAAAAGUUUUUGAAUGCGACACCCCAUGUUCGGCAUAAAAGUCCUCAAAUGCUUGUUUUCUACUAGGUGAAAUAGUAAUAUAAAUUAGUGCAUCCCUAAUUCAUUGAAUUUCAUCCUUAACAUGUUUUAAACCAUCUGUACUAUUAAAUUUAAAAUAUGACAUACACAUCGAAUAUGAAAUAAAAAACCACCAAAUUCAGGUUGAAGUACUCUUUGCAAUUUCUCGAUAACAGGCUUAUUUACAUUAGUGUUGUCGAACGUAAAAGAACGAAUUUUACUCUCGCAUUUAUAUUCUCUAAUAACAUUCAUAAUAGCACUAAAUAUAUUGGGAGCAUUGUGCGGGUACUCAAUAAUUUUAAAAGCAAUUAUUUUUUUAUGCAUGAUCCAAAGUGGGUCUAUAUAGUGUGCAGUUGCAGCCAUGUAACAUCUUUUAUUAAUCCCUUCCUAUAAAUCCGAAGUUAAAGAUAUUACACCCCCAUAUUUUUCUAAAUCGGCAAUCAAUGUUUUCUUUGCAUUUAAAAAAUAUUCUAUUGUAUCAGAACGAAGAGUAUUUCGACUUACCCCAGCAUACCUCGGUUGAAGACAUUCUUUGACAAAUGUAACGAAAUGUUGGUUGUCCGUUUGUGCUAGUGGCAACUCAGAUCCAGCAAUGUACUUCACCAUUCCUGUUCGAGUUCUUUCCUUCGAAUACAUCCACGUAUUAAGUGGCGUAGUAGUAGUAGCACCGCUGCCUGAAUUACCAAAUUGUAGUUGCGUUUGACCAGCAGGAAGAAGACCAUGUUUGGCCGUACAUGCUUUGUAGUGACGGUUGAGGUGGGUGGUUCCAAUGCCUUUUUGAUGAGCUAAUCGUUGUUGACAGUAUUUACAUACUGCUUUGGUUUCUGGAAUUCCAUCGACCAUACGACCAGUUUGAACCAAUUUAAAAUGAUCUCAACAUUUUGCAUGCUUCUUUACCUUUCUCUUCCCUCUUGCAUCGGGAAUUUCAAUAACAGGUUCAUCAUCCUAUUCCAAAUCAAUUGGAGCCUCAGCAUCAACGUCAUCCAAAUUAAUUUGAUGACUACUUUCAUGAACAUUGUAAUCUUUAAUAUUUUCUGGAAUGGGUACUUCAUUUAGACCGGCAAACUCAUUCCCAUAUUGAUUCCCAUAUUGAUUAUGGGACACAUUUGCUUCAUUUCCGACUCCGACAUCGAACAAGUUUUCAAUAAAUGAGCGUGAAUCCAUUUGUGAUUAAUUGAAAUUAAAUGUUGAAGAAAAAGAAGUGAAGUAGAAUUGAGAAAUUAAUGAAGAUUAUGUAGUAGUGUAGAAACUAUAUUGUAAAAUCAAGAUUAUAAUUUAAUGAUAUGAAUAUAAAAUGUAGAAGAGUAUAGAAAUGAGAAUGAAUGAAUAAUAUUGAUAAUAAUUGAGUUGUAGAGAGUAUAGUAGAGAAUAAGAGAUUGAUAGUAAGUUUGGUCAGAAAAAAUGUUGUAAUUGAUGGGUAUUUAUAGGAAGAAAAUGAAAUUUGAAAAAAAAUUAUCAGGGACCAAAACGAUCACUGACAAAGCAAAGUUCAAUGACCGUUUGGUCAAAAGUGACCGAACGGAAGUUCAGUGAUCGUUCUGGUCACUGAAAUAAUUUUUUUUUUUUGGACGAGCCACGAGCUGGGAAGUUGCAAUGUUCAACGUUCACAAAAGACGAUUGGGGCAAGAUCAAUCAAGAUAUGAUUGUUGCCACAAAAUCUGUUUACGGGAUAGAGAAAUUGAAGGGUAAGUGGAAUCGUUUGCGUAAGAUGCAUCGCUUGUUCUAUGACCUUUUAGGGCAUACGGGUGUUAUAUGGGAUCCAAAUACCAACCAAGUGAAUGCCACAGAAGAAGUUUGGCAACUUUUUUUCAUGAUUUGUGUUGUAAAAGAAAAUUUUUAGCAUUACUUAUUUAUGAUAUCAUUUUUUGUUUAACAUUUUGCUUCACUAUUAAUGUAGGUUUUUUUUAUAUUGUAGAUAAACAAGAGCGACUAUAAGACAUUUAGGAGGGAAGGAUAUAAGCAUUACGAAUUGCUUGGAGAGAUUUUAGCGGGACUACAGUUACUGAAAGUCUGGGCCAUGUUUCUACUUAGCUUCCUCCAACUUCAGAGGAAGAAAGAAGGGUAGAAGAUGAGUUUUUGAGCAGGGGAGUGCAUGUACAUGUGGAGAAUGAUGACGAUGAAGUUUCAAAUAUUCGUCAACGUGAUGAUACUACACCUAACAAACAUCGACAUAAGGAACCUAAAAUCAAUAAAAGAGAAAAACUUGAGAAAUGUAUGGCUCAAUGGUCAUCUACUGUUAGUAUGAGGAAUGAGGAAACAGAAAUAAGGAUGCUAUACCUUAAAGAAAAGCUUGCGCACAUCCAAGAAAAAUCAUCUAAUCACGAGGGCACUAGUGAAGUCAUUAGUCCAGAUCCUUAUUCAAAUAUGGUGUGUUUCAACAUCUUAAACAACAUGGAAGGAGUGUCCAACGAAGUUUAUAUGAAAGCAAUAAAAGCUUUUAAGGAUGCAGUUUUCAGGAUAACAUUUAUAAAGAUGCCAAAAAUUAGGAGAGGACCUAUCUUAGAACUUCUUUGAUUUGCCUAAUUAGUCGGACUGAGUAUUUUGAGCUUAUAAUGUAGGAUUGUAUUCUUUUUAUAUAUUGACUAUGAACUUUGUAAUUCUCAAUAUUUACUACUAGUUUUAUUUUAAUCAAUAUUGAUUUUGGUAUUUAUAUUUGUUGGAGUAUUUUUAUAAAUGAUUAUGGUAAGUACAUAGAUGAUAUGAGCGACAAUGACUUAUUAUGUAUGAAUGAUUUCGAUACGAUUGGUGGAG
rnacentral:lncRNA from 1 species